CAUCCCAUAAAACCCUUUAGAUCGUCCACACUGCCCCUGUCAAUAUGUGGUUCUCACUCCCCAUCAGCAAACGCUGUGUUUUCUGGGCGUGUCGCAAGCGAAGCUGCUCACCACACCUCUGUGCGGAAGCGCAUACCUUUUUUGUUGUUGUUGUUGUUUUUUAAAUUGGCUCCAUGGAUACGAGCUACCGCACGGUUACGAUACAAUAGGUGGCAGUAGUGCGACAUUGAGAAUGCAAUCCACCGCAAUCCUCCACAGAAGAAGAAGACCCACUACAGAACUGCACGACAUUAGUCAGCUGGUUCGUAGCGUAGUAGAACCAUACGUCUACGAUCCCGAAUCUGACCCUGAAGCUGAAGAGGAGGCUGUUGAAGUCGCCACAUUUCGGCUGAUGCAAGAUGUGUCUCAUUGUUGUUACAGGUAUCUAGUCUACAGAGGCUAGUGAGCUGGUGCUGAGGAUUCCUGGGGUGAAGAAUCUGAGUUGCCAUCUCUUCAUGCUUGGGUUGUAGAUGAAGGCAGUUUCCUGAUGGAUAAAACACUAAAACACUCAUAGUAUGAUUGAUGUAGACCACCUGUAGAAUAACUCCUUUACCAUUUGAGUAAAAAUGUGUUUUUUUUUUGAGUGCAACACUCUAAGAAUUUUUUAAAUUUUAUUUAUAUAUAAUUUAUAUGCUUUUUAUUUAUGGCCGCUUCAACUUUAUAGCUUACCAUAUUAGAAAGAGAAAAACAUGUAAUUUUAAUACUAUGAUUUCCUAAAUAAAAGUGUUUUCCCUUCAGAAACAGAGUUUAGUGAAAUACAUAAUAGUUAAAGCCAACUUUAUUGUAAACCAAAAAAAUACACCACUACUCCAAAGCUAGAACAAACUGUUACCUUCACACUCCAAUGUGCAAUGUAUAGGUUACUGAGUUAAUUAAGAAGUCUGGGGGUUUGAGGUCAAAAGCUUUUGCAGGGCCUUGCAGACGAAAUGCAUGAAAGUAGGGUAAACAGGGAGAUGUGGUGAUCCUUGUUCUCAUCACUAUUUGGAAGACUGAGCGGAAGCAGUCCUCUACCAGAUGGAAGCUGUGGCUGUCCUCACCAUCACCUCAUCAAAACAAAAAGGUACUGCAAUCAGAAUUGUAGAUUAGUGAAAUGUUCAUUAUUAUGUAGGUCAAAACCUUCUCUAAUGUAAGAACACACAAUACCAGACAAAAAAUUAAACCAAACAAGAGGACAGGCCUGUCUGUGCUAAAACAACAGAUAAACAGUUGUUACAAUUCAAAUAUAAAAUCUAAACAGUAUAUACCAAUUAAAAUCUUCUAUUACCUAUCUUACUGUUGGUACAUACAAA